rnacentral:rRNA from 1 species
AGUGAACGCUGGCGGUAGGCCUAACACAUGCAAGUCGAACGGCAGCACAGGAGAGCUUGCUCUCUGGGUGGCGAGUGGCAGACGGGUGAGGAAUACAUCGGAAUCUACUUUUUCGUGGGGGAUAACGUAGGGAAACUUACGCUAAUACCGCAUACGACCUACGGGUGAAAGCAGGGGACCUCCGGGCCUUGCGCGAUUGAAUGAGCCGAUGUCGGAUUAGCUAGUUGGCGGGGUAAAGGCCCACCAAGGCGACGAUCCGUAGCUGGUCUGAGAGGAUGAUCAGACACACUGGAACUGAGACACGGUCCAGACUCCUACGGGAGGCAGCAGUGGGGAAUAUUGGACAAUGGGCGCAAGCCUGAUCCAGCCAUACCGCGUGGGUGAAGAAGGCCUUCGGGUUGUAAAGCCCUUUUGUUGGGAAAGAAAUCCAGCUGGCUAAUACCCGGUUGGGAUGACGGUACCCAAAGAAUAAGCACCGGCUAACUUCGUGCCAGCCGCCGCAGUAA